rnacentral:rRNA from 1 species
UACGGAGGAUGCGAGCGUUAUCCGGAUUUAUUGGGUUUAAAGGGUGCGUAGGCGGACGCUUAAGUCGGCGGUAAAAUUGCGGGGCUCAACCCCGCCGAGCCGUUGAAACUGGGUGCCUUGAGUGGGCGAGAAGUACGCGGAAUGCGUGGUGUAGCGGUGAAAUGCAUAGAUAUCACGCAGAACUCCGAUUGCGAAGGCAGCGUACCGGCGCCCAACUGACGCUGAAGCACGAAGGCGUGGGUAUCGAACAGG